GACGAACGCUGGCGGCGUGCCUAAUACAUGCAAGUCGAACGCAGUGGGGACGGGUGAGUAACACGUGGGUAACCUCCCAUCAGAGGGGAUAACACUUGGAAACAGGUGCUAAACCGAUACUGAUGGAUGAACACGCGGUGCGGUAGCUAGUUGGUGAGGGAACGGCUCACAAAGGCCACGAUGCAUAGCCGACCGGAGAGAGUGAUCGGCCACACUGGUACUGAGACACGGCCCAGACCCCUACGGGAGGCAGCAGUAGGGAAUUUUCGGAAAUGGACGAAAGUCUGACCGAGCAACGCCGCGUGAGUGAAGAAGGUUUUCGGAUCGUAAAACUCUGUUGUUAGAGAAGCGGUAUCUAACCAGAAAGCCACGGCUAACUACGUGCCAGCCGCCGCGGUAAUUC
rnacentral:rRNA from 1 species